AGGCUCCGUUUCUCCUGAAGCCUCUCUCUGCCCUGCCAAGACCCACCUUUUCCCAUGUCUUCUCAUGGCCGGUCCUUACUCAGUGCAUCUGGGUCCUGUUGACUCUUCCUCCUCUUACAGGGACAGUGAUCUCCUCCAAGAGAUUCUAACUCCAUCACUUCUUCUACUCAGUUCGACUUAAGAAGCUCAUCUACUCAGGAGUGUGGGACCAUCCCUUGGAGUAUGGCUAGCUAAAAAGCACAGACACUCUUUCCCCAGAAGCCUCACCUGGCAAGAGUUCCUCAGCCAGAGCUUAGAGACUGUCAGUCUAAGGUUCUUGAAGAUGAAGCCUGAUAUCCACUUUCCUCAGCCUACCUUGACUUACAUCGAGACAGCAAGACCAGCGAGGCUGCCUCUGACCCAUACACUCCUUCCUUCCCUUUGAACACAGUCUUGUGUGGACUGGACACGGUGUUGGGAGCAGCAACUAACAUCACAUGGCUGUGACAGAGCCUGAGAGAAUCGCGACACUCGUAUCUGACCUGCCAUGAUCCAUCUGGAAUCACCACAGCCCUUGGCCUCUGACUCCUCAUGGCUGCAGGCAGAGAAUGGACGAGAAAAUCAAAUGCUUUCUGUACUUCCAAAGACGUGUUAGCGAUUCGGUUCUGAUUGAUGCACUUCAGAGUUUCUACAACAUAUUCAUCUAUGCUUUACAAUGACGGGGGCAAGAACUUAUAAUGUAUCCUCUUUUAGAGGUGGAGAAACUGAAGGUCAGAAAGCAGGAGAGAGGAAAGCUAAGCAGGAGGCAGUAGAAAGAGAGACAGCUGCGUGGACCAUUCACUGCCUCCUAAGGGAACUUUAAUGUGUGAAGUCUAAGUGCGCCCAC
rnacentral:lncRNA from 1 species